rnacentral:rRNA from 1 species
GCAUAUCAAUAAGCGGAGGAAAAGAAACCAACAGGGAUUGCCUUAGUAACGGCGAGUGAAGCGGCAAUAGCUCAAAUUUGAAAGCUGGCGUCUUCGACGUCCGCGUUGUAAUUUGUAGAGGAUGCUUCGGCGAGGACUCCUGCCUAAGUCCCCUGGAACGGGGCGUCACAGAGGGUGAGAAUCCCGUAUGUGGCGGGCGGUCCAAGCCAUGUGAAGCUCCUUCGACGAGUCGAGUUGUUUGGGAAUGCAGCUCUAAAUGGGAGGUAAAUUUCUUCUAAAGCUAAAUAUUGGCCAGAGACCGAUAGCGCACAAGUAGAGUGAUCGAAAGAUGAAAAGCACUUUGGAAAGAGAGUUAAAAAGUACGUGAAAUUGUUGAAAGGGAAGCGCUUGCAACCAGACUCGCUCGCAGUUGCUCAGCCGGCCUCUUGGCCGGUGUACUCUUCUGCGAUCGGGCCAGCAUCAGUUCGGGCGGCUGGAUAAAGGUGUCGGGAAUGUAGCACCCUUCGGGGUGUGUUAUAGCCCGGCGCGGAAUGCGGCCAGCCUGGACUGAGGAUCUCGCUUCGGCAAGGAUGCUGGCGUAAUGGUUGUAAGCGGCCCGUCUUGAAACACGGACCAAGGAGUCUAACAUCUAUGCGAGUGUUUGGGUGUCAAACCCAUGCGCGUAAUGAAAGUGAACGGAGGUGGGAACCCUUCACGGGGUGCACCAUCGACCGAUCCUGAUGUCUUCGGAUGGAUUUGAGUAAGAGCAUAGCUGUUGGGACCCGAAAGAUGGUGAACUAUGCCUGAAUAGGGUGAAGCCAGAGGAAACUCUGGUGGAGGCUCGCAGCGGUUCUGACGUGCAAAUCGAUCGUCAAAUUUGGGUAUAGGGGCGAAAGACUAAUCGAACCAUCUAGUAGCUGGUUCCUGCCGA